UGCCAGACUCCUACGGGAGGCAGCAGUGGGGAAUAUUGCACAAUGGGGGAAACCCUGAUGCAGCAACGCCGCGUGAGUGAAGAAGUAUUUCGGUAUGUAAAGCUCUAUCAGCAGGGAAGAAGAAAGACGGUACCUGACUAAGAAGCCCCGGCUAACUACGUGCCAGCAGCCGCGGUAAUACGUAGGGGGCAAGCGUUAUCCGGAUUUACUGGGUGUAAAGGGAGCGUAGACGGCAGUGCAAGUCCGGAGUGAAAGCCCGGGGCUCAACCCUGGGACUGCUCUGGAAACUGUAAAGCUGGAGUGCGGGAGGGGCAGGCGGAAUUCCUGGUGUAGCGGUGAAAUGCGUAGAUAUCAGGAGGAACACCGGCGGCGAAGGCGGCCUGCUGGACCGUAACUGACGUUGAGGCUCGAAAGCGUGGGGAGCAAACAGGAUUAGAUACCCCUGUA
rnacentral:rRNA from 1 species